ensembl:lncRNA
GAGAUGGUGGAGUUUGACUUGGAUGUAGUGAAGCGCCUCAUCAGCGCAGAUCUGUCUUUAAUGUUUGACGCAAAGCGCCGCACUGUUAAUCUGAGUCGCGAGUUUGGCGCGUAUAAUUACACCUGGACCUGUCACAUCCGCUUCCGCCGCCGCAACCAAUUUAAACAUCUCUGUCAGUCCCGACCCUCGUCAAACCACUGCAAUGAAUUGAUGUUUUAAGCGUCUGUUGGCAGAUUCAUUACCAGUGCUUGCCCACAACCCCCCGCACGAUAUUUUCUGGCGGCUCGACUAUCACCCGCACAGUUCAUGCAGUUGUUCGUCCACCUCAUCACCAUCGUUGUCCCAGAGAGAUAGAACUGUCCAAAACAAUUACCUCAGGAGCUUUAACGACAAGCGGUGAAGCAUUUUAAUCUCUUCGCACUUUCUCUUGGAGAUGGGAGCUGUCCAUUACUUUAAAGAAGCCUAAAAGG